GAAGUGACAAGAUCUAAGACCCAAAACCAGUUUGCAUCUUGAACCGUCAGAGCUGCACAUCAUCCAACGGGAUCCCCAAUAGAUGCAUCAAAUCUUGAUACUCCUGCCUAUCACCCAAGCACCUCAUAUCUUCUUCCCCUACUCGAACAUAAGCCAAUCCAAAUGCACCUUCAUUGCGUUUUCUUCUUCUCUCCAAACUUCUGCAGAACAACCAUCCCAUCUCCAUCAAUCACCCCCGACCUCCUCUGAGCUCAGGCAACCUAUCAGCCACCCUAUGCAAUCAAUCAACCUCCUAGUCUCUAUCUAUUUCUAUCAUAGCUUCUUCUCCAAAACAGUAACCCUAGAAGCUAUGAUUCAGAGAGAUAUAGUUAGGGUUAUCUUCGAUAGCUAAAAGCAAACAUCAAAUCAAGAGUGCAGGUCUGAAUUGCAGAGGGGGUUUGUCGGGAAAACGCGUUUUGAGUACCUGAAGCUAAAUUACACACUCAGGGAAGAAAAGGAAAGGAGCAGGACAAUUUGUGGAAGUGCCUAAACCCGGUUUUAUACCCGCGGUACUAAAUAAAGCUUGGAUGAUUGGAGAAGCCAACAGAGCAGAGAAUUGGUGAUGAUGGAAGAGAGACAACAAAGACUCGCGCUAGAAGGCAGUGAAGAAUAUCUUUUGCACCUCAUCCGCAAGUGAAGAAUGUUGCUUUCACGUCUCAAAACUAUUUGAGCUUUGAAGAAAACAUAGUCUUAGAAGUGACAAGAUCUAAGACCCAAAACCAGUUUGCAUCUUGAACCGUCAGAGCUGCACAUCAUCCAACGGGAUCCCAAUAGAUGCAUCAAAUAUGGAUACUCCUGCCUAUCACCCAAGAACCUCAUAUCUUCUUCCCCUACUCGAACAGAAUCCAAGCCAA